CCCUUAGAUGUUCUGGGCCGCACGCGCGCUACACUGAUGCGUUCAACGAGUUUAGAACCUUGACUGAUAGGUCUGGGUAAUCUUUUGAAUGCGCAUCGUGCUAGGGAUAGAUUAUUGCAAUUAUUAAUCUUGAACGAGGAAUUCCUAGUAAACGCAAGUCAUCAGCUUGCAUUGAUUACGUCCCUGCCCUUUGUACACACCGCCCGUCGCUCCUACCGAUUGAAUGAUCCGAUGAAUAUCAUGGAUUGAGGAUGCAAGCAGGUUCGCCUGUCUUCAUCUUCGAGAAGUGAAGUAAAUCUUAUCAUUUAGAGGAAGGAGAAGUCGUAACA
rnacentral:rRNA from 1 species